UUUCCGUAGGUGAACCUGCGGAAGGAUCAUUACUAAGUAGUGGCCCUAUGGCUCUAUCCAACCACCCGUGUAUAUUGUACGUUGUUGCUUCAGUUAGCCCUCCUAACGGCCGCCGGGGGGAAUCUUCGCCCGGGCCCGCCCGAGCCGAAGACACGCUUGAACUCUGUUUGAAGUUUGCAUUCUGUGCGAAAACUAAAUAAGAAAAAAUUUUCAACAACGACUCUCUUGGUUCCAGCAUCAAUGAAGAACGCAGCAUGUCGGAAGAGCAGCAGUCUGAAA
rnacentral:misc_RNA from 1 species